rnacentral:rRNA from 1 species
CACCGGUGGCUCGAGUGGUGGCCACUUUUAUUGGGUCUAAAGCGUCCGUAGCCGGCUUGGCAAGUCCCCUGGGAAAUCUGGCGGCUUAACCGUCAGGCGUCCAGAGGAUACUGCCAGGCUUGGGACCGGGAGAGGUGAGAGGUACCUCAGGGGUAGGGGUGAAAUCUUGUGAUCCCUGAGGGACCACCAGUGGCGAAGGCGUCUCACUAGAACGGGUCCGACGGUCAGGGACGAAAGCUGGGGGCACGAACCGG